CUCACAGGUAGCCUUGGACAAAUCACUCUCUUUCAGCCUAACCUACUUAAGGGAGUUGUUGCAAGCACAGAAUGCACAGAAGCAGCAGUGGUUAAAAACAGGUUAACAAGAGACAACAUGACAGGAGAAUCCAUCUCUGUGUAUAUAAAUCCUGCAGAGAAUGUAUUAUGCUUUUUACAGGCCCCAUGACCGCCACCUGCUAACAUAUUGACUGAUGAACAGGGAACAGGUGCACAGGGAACAGAAAGGUCAUACUCUGCAUAUUUAGGAAGGGCAAUGGAAGAGGACAGAGGCCCUCACCUUAGGUGUUCACGCUCAGUAUGAUUUUAGGGAUCACUGAAGUAAGCAACAGCAAAUAUCUGGCACAUGAGAAAGUCUUGUGUAUUGCUAAGAGAUUGCUGAAUUCUCUCUAUAAGAAACCUUCUUUCAAGUCUAUCUGCUUAUCCCAUAUGCUCUUCAGCUUGUGCACUUGCUUUUCCUCUACAGUGUAAUAAAAAUCAUUUUGGAUAUUA